GGCGGGCUGUGGCUCUCCCUGGAGUUCAACCGGUGCCCUGGGGCUUUUCCAGGUGGAACCUGGGCACCUGCUGCUUUAACAACCUACGCUAGUGUUGUGUUAGGGGCUGCCGGGAGGGGCCUGGAGGAUGAAGGUCAAGGUCUGAGCCGACUGACCUUUGAACCUCAAGCUUGAGUCUAACCAACGGGCGUCGGUGUGGCGGCGGAGCAGUCCCGUCCCUGGGCCGAGCCCCACAGGCGUCCCGUCCAACAAGGCAUCUGAGUCUUGGCGCUCGCGGAGUUGGUUGGUGUGGGAUGGGAGUGGGGGUGUGUUUUGGGGGGUCCCAGGAGCUCCCCAGGCUCUGCUCUUCUGCUGGGCAGCCUGUGCCCUCCUGCCAGCGCCUCUUUUCUCAGGGAGCCCCGACAGUGAGGACUACAGCUCCUGUGCUUCUUUUGACCUCUGGUCAAAAGAGGGGUGUCCUCUUUGGGGUCUAGGACUCUCUGCACCGACUCUUCGGACUACUGCUGCUAUGAAUGCGUACAGAUCUGUGUGUGGGCCUGUUUUCAUUUCUCUCGGGCGGAUACGGAGCAGUGGGACUGCCGUGUCUUAACAGUAAGAGAGACAGAGCAUGAACGGAGGAGGGCCAGAGAGAGAGGGAGAC